AUAAGUUACUAAGGGCACACGGGGAAUGCCUAGGCUCUGAGAGGCGAAGAAGGACGUGAUAAGCUGCUAAAAGGUACGGGGAGGAGCAAAUAUCUUUUGAUCCGUACAUAUCCGAAUGGGGAAACCCGUCUACUGUAAGGUAGACAUCCGCGUAAGUGGAAGCAAACGCGCUGAACUGAAACAUCUAAGUAGGCGCAGGAAGAGAAAACAAUAGUGAUUUCCGUAGUAGUGGCGAGCGAACUGGAAAUAGCCCAAACCGGUUUUGUUUCGGCAGAAUCGGGGUUGUAGGACUACAACAUGGACAUAUAUAGUAUAGUGGAAAUAUUUGGAAAGAUAUACCAUAGGGGGUGAAAGUCCCGUACACGAAAUGCUUUAUACACCUAGUAGUAUCCUGAGUAGGACGGGACAUGUGAAAUCCUGUCUGAAUCCGCCAGAACCAUCUGGUAAGGCUAAAUACUCCUCAGAGACCGAUAGCGAACGAGUACUGUGAAGGAAAGGUGAAAAGAACCCUGAACAAGGGAGUGAAAUAGACCCUGAAACCGUGUGCUUACAAGCGGUCGGAGUCCGUUUAACGGAUGACGGCGUGCCUUUUGCAUAAUGAUCCUACGAGUUACUCCUCAUUGGCAAGGUUAAGUAUUUAAGAUACGAAUCCGAAGCGAAAGCAAGUCUGAAUAGGGCGCAUUAGUCAGUGGGGGUAGACGCGAAACCUUGUGAUCUACCCAUGGCCAGGUUGAAGUUCCGGUAACACGGAAUGGAGGACCGAACCAGUAAACGUUGAAAAGUUUUUGGAUGAGCUGUGGGUAGGGGUGAAAGGCCAAUCAAACUGGGAAAUAGCUCGUACUCCCCGAAAUGCAUUUAGGUGCAGCGUUGAGUUAGAGUCUUAUAGAGGUAGAGCUACUGAUUGGACUAGGGGGCUUCACCGCCUACCAAAUCCUGACAAACUCCGAAUGCUAUAAGAUAUACUCAGCAGUGAGGGCAUGGGUGCUAAGGUCCAUGUCCGAGAGGGAAAGAACCCAGAUCAUCGGCUAAGGUCCCAAAAUGUAAGUUAAGUUGAAUAAACGUUGUGCGGUUGCAUAGACAGCUAGGAUGUUGGCUUGGAAGCAGCCAUUCAUUUAAAGAGUGCGUAACAGCUCACUAGUCGAGCGACCGUGCGUGGAUAAUAAGCGGGCAUAAAACUUACUACCGAAGCUGUGAAUUCAGUGUUUACACUGUCUGGUAGGGGAGCAUUCUAUGUGCGUUGAAUGUGUUGGGUGACCAAUACUGGAGCGCAUAGAAAAGCAAAUGUAGGAAUAAGUAACGAUAAUGCAGGCGAGAAACCUGCACACCGAAAGACUAAGGUUUCCCCGGCUAUGCUAAUCAUCCGGGGGUUAGUCGGGACCUAACGCGAACCCGAAGGGGGUAGUGGAUGGAAAACUGGUUAAUAUUCCAGUACUUGUUAUAACUGCGAUGGGGUGACGGACUGAUGAAAGUACCGCGUACUGACGGAAUAGUACGUUGAAGGGUGUAGAUAUAUUUUUUGUAGGCAAAUCCGCAGAAAAUGUCGAACCUGAUAGUACCGGGCGGCUUCGGCCAACCGGAUAGUGUACCUAAAAGGUUCCAAGAAAAACCUCUAAGCUUCAGGUUAUAACAACUCGUACCGCAAACCGACACAGGUAGUUGAGAAGAGAAUUCUAAGGUGCUCGAGUGAUUCAUGGCUAAGGAACUAGGCAAAAUGGUCUCGUAACUUCGGGAGAAGAGACGCCCUGCGUAAAGCAGGGCCGCAGUGAAUAGGCCCAGGCGACUGUUUAGCAAAAACACAUGGCUUUGCAAAAUCGAAAGAUGAAGUAUAAGGCCUGACACCUGCCCGGUGCUGGAAGGUUAAGAGGAGAUGUUAGUUUCGACGAAGCAUUGAAUUGAAGCCCCAGUAAACGGCGGCCGUAACUAUAACGGUCCUAAGGUAGCGAAAUUCCUUGUCGGGUAAGUUCCGACCUGCACGAAUGGUGUAACGAUCUGGACACUGUCUCAGCCACGAGCUCGGUGAAAUUGUAGUAUCGGUGAAGAUGCCGAUUACCCGCAACGGGACGGAAAGACCCCGUGAACCUUUACUAUAGCUUCACGUUGGUAUUGGGUAAUCCAUGUGUAGGAUAGGUGGGAGACU
rnacentral:rRNA from 1 species